rnacentral:rRNA from 1 species
GACGAACGCUGGCGGCGUGCCUAAUACAUGCAAGUAGAACGCUGAAGGAGGAGCUUGCUUCUCUGGAUGAGUUGCGAACGGGUGAGUAACGCGUAGGUAACCUGCCUGGUAGCGGGGGACAACUAUUGGAAACGAUAGCUAAUACCGCAUAAGAGUAGAUGUCGCAUGACAUUUGCCUAAAAGGUGCAAUUCCGACGCUACCAGAUGGGCCUGCGUUGUAUUAGCUAGGUGGUGAGGUAACGGCUCACCAAGGCAACGAGACCUAGCCGACCUGAGAGGGGUGUCCGCCACCCUUGGAAUGGGACCAGGCCCAAAAUCCCACGGGGGGCAGCAGGAGGGAAAUAUUGGAAAUGGGGCGAAGUCUGACCGCACAACUGCGGGGGAGGGGAGGAGGGUUUCGGGUCGUAAAAGUCUGUUGUAUGGGAAGAAAGAGUAUUAAGGUAGAAAGUUCACAUUGUGACGGUACCUUAACAGAAAGGAACGGCUAACUACGUG